GAUGAACGCUGGCGGCGUGCCUAAUACAUGCAAGUCGAGCGAACAGACGAGGAGCUUGCUCCUCUGACGUUAGCGGCGGACGGGUGAGUAACACGUGGAUAACCUACCUAUAAGACUGGGAUAACUUCGGGAAACCGGAUCUAAUACCGGAUAAUAUAUUGAACCGCAUGGUUCAAUAGUUAAAGACGGUUUUGCUGUCACUUAUAGAUGGAUCCGCGCCGGAUUAGCUAGUUGGUAAGGUAACGGCUCACCAAGGCGACGAUGCGUAGCCGAUCCGAGAGGAUGAUCAGCCACACUGGAACUGAGACACGGUCCAGACUCCUACGGGAGGCAGCAGUGGGGAAGAUUGGACAAUGGGCGCAAGCCUGAUCCAGCCAUACCGCGUGGGUGAAGAAGGUCUUCGGGUUGUAAAGCCCUUUUGUUGGGAAAGAAAAGCAGCAGGUUAAUACCCCGCUGUUCUGACGGUACCCAAAGAAUAAGCACCGGCUAACUUCGUG
rnacentral:rRNA from 1 species